UGCCAUCUACCGUCUGUCUGUCUCUCUCUCUCUCUCUCGCCUCUCGGGGCGCCGCCGCUCGCUGGCGCCGCCACCCCGCGCCACCUUCACGCACCAGCAGACCGCCCUCACCGCCGCGAAUCACUGCCUGGCUGCGCUGGGGAAGAAGAAGAGGACAAGCACUCUCGGUCGGCCGGCCGGGCCACCAGAAAGCGGGUGCGCAGCCACGCGCGCGAGCCGGGCGCGCGACACCUGCGCGCAUUGGUGAUCACGGCGGCGGGCCGGGGCCUGGGAGGCGUCGCAGCCUGGUGCAGCUGCGACUGGGAGCGGCCGGGGCACGUGAGGGGAGCCGUCCCUGCCCGCGCGGUCAGCCGCUGGCCACGACCAACCCCAGUUGACGGGCAUGGAUCCACCUCCACGACGCUGACGUCACCGCGCUUCUCUCGCCGCCACCCUUCCUGGUGCGGACCCAUGCGCAAGGUGAGGGCGAUGCCGGGCGUGGCGCCGCCACGGAGGGGGACGCGGCCUUCUCGUGGGCACCCGUCAUACUCUGCCUUGCAGUACUGAUAGAUCACUGUUCGGAACCUAGGUUCUUGUUCCCUGCAUUGGGCGGUCUCCUUUUUGGCUAUGACAUUGGUGCAACCUCUGGAGCAACAAUCUCUGUACAAUCUGCUGAUCUCAGUGGCACCACUUGGUUCAACCGGUCAUCUGUGCAACUAGGCCUUGUGGCAAGUGGUUCACUUUAUGGAGCUCUUGGUGGCUCUAUUCUCGCACACCGCAUUGCAGAUUUUCUAGGAAGGAGAAUAGAAUUGGUCACCGCAGCUGCACUAUAUAUUCUUGGUGCUUUGGUCACUGGAUUUGCCCCUAAUUUUGUAGGUCUAAUCAUAGGUCGUAUCCUUUAUGGGAUUGGUAUUGGUUUGGUGAGUACCUGCAGGCACAAAUCUUCUUCCUCCCUAAGAUGAUCCCAUGUUACUGUUGUUAAACAAAAUCUAAUUUACGAAUGCAUAUAAAAAAGAUUUUCUGGGGAUGAUAAGUACAUUCACUCAAGCUGAGUAACCUGACAAAAUUGUUAUAAACUUAUAAUGUCAUGAUGUCUCAUUAUAGUUUUCUGAUAUGCUAAUCAUUUACUGAAGUGUGAAGUAGCAAAACUAAUUGAUGUUACUAUAGCUUGAUGAUCAUGUUCUGAUAUAACUAAUUAUGGAAUAAGUAGAUAUAAAACAUUCCUGCACUUGAUUAUUCUGAUAUUCCAAUGAUGGGGUAGUGAACAUAUUCACUGGUACGCCGCAAAAUCAAGCUGGUUGUAUUGCUAAGAUAUUUAAUAUAAUUUUCUUCUUUAAUUUCUGGGGUGGUUACAUUGCGUGUAGCACUUUACCCAAGCCUUUUUGACACCAACUUUCAACAUCCACAAGCAUCAAAAUUUCCAUGGUUCCAUGCUUUGUUAAAAUGGGAUUAGUAGCAAUUGAAGAUCAUUACAGUUGCAAAGGAGCAUAUGAAUAUUUAGCUAGGGGUUUGGGAGAGUUUAUAGACCAAUACUGUCCUAAAACAUUUGGUGUUAUGCCACUGAACCAUUAUGGUGCUAUGUGCCACGCAAUGCAUGGUGCCCCACUUUAUAUUGCAGAGACUUCUCCUCCGCAAAUACGUGGAACAUUGAUAUCUUUGAAGGAGCUGUUUAUUGCGUUAGGAAUACUGGUUGUCGUUUGAAAACCACAAACUGCAAAUGAAGGUUGCUGCAACAUUAUAUUAAUGUGCAGUGAGGUGUUGUCUGUUGUACUAUGAGAAGUGUAGCUGCACUUCAAUUAGUUUCGCCAGUCGACUUAAGAUGAUGAAUCUGUACUUAUCUAACACUCACUCACUAUGAGGUGAUGUUCUAAUACUAUGCUUGUAGCUAACAUUUUUUACCUAAUGUUCUCAAGUGGUACUGAUCAAGUGUAGCUACAUAUGUUGCUUGUCUGAUAAAAAAAGUAGCAACCUGUUCAUAUAGAAUGUUUUUGAGAAUAGUCAAUAUUUUAGGUUGUAUAGAUACAGCUGCAAUGAAACCUUCUCAGUGAUACAUUCUUUGACCUAACCUAGGUCAGGGUUGGGCACUUCAAAUAGAACUCUCAUUUGAUGUGCAUGUGUAUAUAUAAAAAGGUUUGAUGAAUCAGCGCUAGCUUCCUGCGUUAACAUAUUCUGGCCAGUGGUGUGUAAGUCUUUGACACCUCUCAGAUACUAUUGUUGUUUUCCCCCUUACAUUAGAAAGCAUGCUAGGAUUUAGUACCUGAGAGGUGAAAGUAAGUUCUUUGACACCUCUCAGAUUCUGCGUUGCUUGGAUGUGAAAGUAAAUUGACUAUAUUCAAACUUGAUGUAUGAUGGAACUCUUGUUCCCGUUUUAA